CCAUGCUUAAACAAAAUUUAUUCCACAUGCAACGGGACGGAGUACUUCAGUAGAACUCUAAUCCCAACUCUAAAAUCUCGAUUAUUUCAACACUUAUGUCUCAACUAACCUCAACUCUAACAUCUCAAACCUCUCAUUCCAACAGGACUGGCGCCCAGAGAGCAAAGCUCGACCAGGGACCUUACCUUCAGUCCGGUCACUUAACUCUCAGCCUUAGCCUUUUGGCUCUCUUAUCCAAUAAGACUGGCGCCCCGAGAGCAAUGCUCGACCAGGGACCUUACCUCCAGUCUGGUCACUUAAGUAUCCAAAUAAGAAAUCUAGUAGCCAUUCGGCUCUCUUAAUCCAAUAAGACUGGCGCCCCGAGAGCAAUGCUCGACCAGGGACCUUACCUCCAGUCUGGUCACUUAAAUAUCCAAAUAAG
rnacentral:lncRNA from 1 species